AUGGGAACGCGAAGAACCUUACCUACUCUUGACAUCCAGAGAACUUUCCAGAGAUGGAUUGGUGCCUUCGGGAACUCUGAGACAGGUGCUGCAUGGCUGUCGUCAGCUCGUGUUGUGAAAUGUUGGGUUAAGUCCCGCAACGAGCGCAACCCGUUAUCCUUUGUUGCCAGCGGUCCGGCCGGGAACUCAAAGGAGACUGCCAGUGAUAAACUGGAGGAAGGUGGGGAUGACGUCAAGUCAUCAUGGCCCUUACGAGUAGGGCUACACACGUGCUACAAUGGCGCAUACAAAGAGAAGCGACCUCGCGAGAGCAAGCGGACCUCAUAAAGUGCGUCGUAGUCCGGAUUGGAGUCUGCAACUCGACUCCAUGAAGUCGGAAUCGCUAGUAAUCGUAGAUCAGAAUGCUACGGUGAAUACGUUCCUGGGUCUUGUACACACCG
rnacentral:rRNA from 1 species